CGAAGCUAGGCUUGAAGAAGCAGCAGCUCCACAAGCAUCCUUCAAGCCCCUCUCUUCCUCCUUUUCUAUCCGAACUCACUGGACCACUUAGAUCUCGAAUCCAUGAAUCCCUCAACCAUCAAGUUCCUCUGCAGCUACGGCGGCAAGAUCCUCCCGCGUUAUCCUGACGGCAAACUCCGUUAUCUUGGCGGCGAAACUCGUGUCCUCGCCGUUGAUCGCUUCAUCUCUUUCUCUGAGCUAUUGUUGAAGCUCGGCGAGUUGUGUGGCACAUCAGUGAGUCUGCGGUGUCAGUUGCCGACGGAGGAUCUAGACGCUCUGGUGUCGAUUACCUCUGAUGAGGAUCUCGCAAAUCUCAUCGAGGAAUAUGAUCGAGCAUCGCCACCGCCUUCUUCUCUAAAGAUCAGGGCCUUCCUUUCACUGCCUAAAAAAAUCUCUCCUCCUCCAUCAUCGGCUUCAUCCUCCUCCUCCUCCUCCAAGUCAUCUAUGUAUUGUAGUGGUUCAAUUUCAAGAUCGUCGAUGCCGGCGACUGAUCGGUGCCAUCACCAGAUCCGGAAGCCUGUAGGGCUUCCAGCGAAAUCUGCUGGGAAGAGGCCUCACUAUGCGUACUAUGCUCAUGGAAACCCUAGCCAAACCUACCUAAAUUGAGACCCAAACAGAAGAUGCAGAUAUACUACAAAGACGCGAAAUGAAAAUAUAUAUGAAUUAAAAAGAAAACAUGAAAUCGGAGACUAGCUCAAAUAUGAUGUAACUGGGACUGUAAAUCUCGUCAAGAAGGAUUGCUUUUUUCGUUUUCUUCUGGCCCGUGGACAUUAAUGAAUUUUCAUUCUGCUUGUUUUGUGAUGGUUGGUGAAAGAUUGAAGAGGUCAAAAAAGAGAUGCUUGAAGAUGAUGUAUCCAAGGACAAAGGGAGCUUAGCGACGGGCAGGUGCAUCCAAUGAAUCGAGCUUUUGAAAGGAUUGGUGAUUUUUCAAGAAAAAGCCUAAUAUGCUUGGGCCUGGGUUAAGACUCUAAAGUUUGAACUUACAAACGAGCUCUAAAAGCCCAAUUUCAUCCCUUGGCCCAAGAUUAAGCCCACUUUCAUUUCUUACUGGUAGUGCUGGUCCUCAUUCGCGUGAACCCCCUAAACGGCCGAAGUCCGGACGCUUUGCUGCUUCAAAUAAUACAAAACGCACUGUUAGUUGCACGACGGCUCUUUGACGGACAGGGCUGUAGCUUCCUUGUUGGAUGUAUAAUUUCGGGCCCGAAUAGCUUCUCGUGUUGCCGUUCUUGCAAUAGCCAAAUCUGCGUCAAUUCUGUAAUGUCAGUGGAAGCUGAUGAGAGAGACUCUUCAAGGAUUACUCUUGUAAUGGCACUCGUCUUGCACUACUGUCAGCCAAGGCUUGUGUGGUAUUAUUAUGAAUGAAUGGUGGAGGUAGGUGUUAAAAGGAGGAGAAAUGAUGGUUAGAAUUUUGUUGGUUUGGUUUAAGGGAGGGAAGUAGAUGAGUAUUAAUUAGUGUAUUACAAGGAGGAGAGAAUGAAAAAAGUAGUCACAAUGGUGAGAGGCUACAAGACCAAGUGUCAUGGCUUAGGCCUUUUAGAUGAGCUGCGCAUCAACAGGACGGGCCGGGCUUCAACUGGUCGGGCUUGGGCUUCACAAUAUUAGCUUUUUUAUAAUCAUUCAUAAUUUUUUUUUUCACUCAUUUUGAUUUUAAUAAUGAUAUUUUUGUAACUCACAAUGUCCAAAAAAGAGUGCAAAGGUAGUCUCCCUCCUAACUCCUCACUUAACUCUCAUCUCUUUAACUCUUCAUUUUUCUAAUUGGGAGAGCCUUAAUCCGUGGGCCCAAAUGUAACCCAAUAGAACGCUCGUUCUACAAAUUUAGUGGUCUCAAUGUAAAAUAGAAUUCAGCAUUUA